UAGCCCAGGAGACAACCGUACACGCAACAC
rnacentral:piRNA from 1 species